rnacentral:rRNA from 1 species
AUAAAGGGAUUUUCGGAUCUUGUUCAUCGGAUAGUAGUUACAUAACCAAUUGUGGAACUCUCUUGCUAAAAUUUUUAUUAAUAUAUUAUACUUAUACUUUAUUUUAUAAUAGAGAUAAGUUUAUAUAUAUAAUUUAAAUUAUAACGAUUAUCAAUUAACAAUAAAUUCAGAACUGGCACGGACUUGGGGAAUCCGACUGUCUAAUUAAAACAAAGCAUUGUGAUGGCCCUAGCGGGUGUUGACACAAUGUGAUUUCUGCCCAGUGCUCUGAAUGUCAAAGUGAAGAAAUUCAAGUAAGCGCGGGUAAACGGCGGGAGUAACUAUGACUCUCUUAAGGUAGCCAAAUGCCUCGUCAUCUAAUUAGUGACGCGCAUGAAUGGAUUAACGAGAUUCACUCUGUCCCUAUCUACUAUCUAGCGAAACCACAGCCAAGGGAACGGGCUUGGAAAAAUUAGCGGGGAAAGAAGACCCUAUUGAGCUUGACUCUAAUCUGGCAGUGUAAGGAGACAUAAGAGGUGUAGAAUAAGUGGGAGAUAUAUAUUAAUUUAUUUUUUUAUAUAUCAACAGUGAAAUACCACUACUCUUAUUGUUUCCUUACUUACUUGAUUAAAUGGAACGUGUAUCAUUUCCUAGCUAUAUAAUGGAUUUAUUUUUUAGUAAGUCUUAUGGUAUUGGGUCUUGAUGCAAGCUUCUUGAACAAAGUAUCACGAGUUGGUUAUAUAAUUGCAAACAAAUUUUUAUACAAAAAUUUAUAAUUUAACAUAUAAUAAUAUUCUUUUAAUCUGGUUUUUAUUAUUUUGUUAAUAUAUAAUAUUUAUUUUAAAAUUUGGUAUAACUCCUACACUCAGGUAUGAUCCAAUUCAAGGACAUUGCCAGGUGGGGAGUUCGACUGGGGCGGUACAUCUCUCAAAUAAUAACGG